rnacentral:rRNA from 1 species
UACGAAGGGGGCUAGCGUUGCUCGGAAUCACUGGGCGUAAAGGGUGCGUAGGUGGAUUUUUAAGUCAGGGGUGAAAUCCUGGAGCUCAACUCCAGAACUGCCUUUGAUACUGAAAGUCUUGAGUUCGGGAGAGGUGAGUGGAACUGCGAGUGUAGAGGUGAAAUUCGUAGAUAUUCGCAAGAACACCAGUGGCGAAGGCGGCUCACUGGCCCGAUACUGACACUGAGGCACGAAAGCGUGGGGAGCAAACAGG